rnacentral:rRNA from 1 species
UUCCAGACUCCUACGGGAGGCAGCAGUGAGGAAUAUUGGUCAAUGGCCGCAGGGCUGAACCAGCCAAGUCGCGUGAGGGAUGACGGUCCUAUGGAUUGUAAACCUCUUUUGUCAGGGAGCAAAGGGCGCCACGUGUGGCGUUUUGCGAGUACCUGAAGAAAAAGCAUCGGCUAACUCCGUGCCAGCAGCCGCGGUAAUACGGAGGAUGCGAGCGUUAUCCGGAUUUAUUGGGUUUAAAGGGUGCGCAGGCGGAAUGUCAAGUCAGCGGUAAAAUUUCGGGGCUCAACCCCGUCGUGCCGUUGAAACUGGCGUUCUUGAGUGAGCGAGAAGUAUGCGGAAUGCGUGGUGUAGCGGUGAAAUGCAUAGAUAUCACGAAGAACCCCGAUUGCGAAGGCAGCCUGCCGCAGCGUUACUGACGCUGAAGCUCGAAAGCGCGGGUAUCGAACAGGAUUAGAUACCCGGGUA